rnacentral:lncRNA from 1 species
CAGACUCAUGCAGUCUCCGGCAGCAACAGAGAAUUCUACCAUAACCCCAGGCACAGGCUGAGUGAUGGAUGCGAUGGAUGCUGAAUGAUAUGUGACUGAGUGAACCGCAGUGCACUCUGGGAAACCCGGAAGGAGAUGGCUAUCAUGAAAAAUGAUGUUUUUGCCUAUAAUUCAAUAUCCAGGAUCCAAGAGAAGCUUCUACAGCUUGGGCUGCAAAAACAACAACUGGAGUUAGAAGCUCUGGGAGGUGUAGACUAGAAGAUCCUGUCAUCUUCGCAGAGACAGAAGGCUUUGCCUGUGUUCAUCAAUCCUGUUUCUCCGAAGACAAGCUAAAGAACUCAGAGGUGACUUGUAAUGAGGAAGGGAGCUGCCAGGCCCUUUGAGAAGAUCACAGCCAUCCAAAGCAGAGACACUUUAAAGCCAGGCAGAGUGGAGAUGCCACUUAGAAACUUGGGUGCUUCCUGACAAAGAAGGACACAUUACUCUUUCUGAAAAAGCUCAUCAAAUUGAACCUGCCCAUCACCUGGACCUGUCCUUCACCUGGACCUGUCCAUCACCUGGACAUGUCCAUCAUCUGGAUCUGUCCAUCACCUGAACCUGCCCAUCACCUGGACCUGUCCCUCACCUGGACCUGUCCAUCACCUGGACAUGUCCAUCAUCUGGAUCUGUCCAUCACCUGGACCUGUCCCUCACCUGGACCUGUCCAUCACCUGGACUGGGAAGCCAAGAAGUCCAGAGCAAGAACCAGCUGAUUGGCCCUGUAUCGUCUGGGUGGAUCCAAGGCAUCCCAAGGAUCCUUGUUAGGAGGACGGAGGAGAGUCAUAGUCUCAGAGAGACGGGUGAGGACUGAAGCAGAGGUGC